UACAGAGGGGGCAGGCGUUGUUCGGAAUUACUGGGCGUAAAGGGCGCGUAGGCGGCCUUCUAAGUCGAACGUGAAAUCCCCGGGCUCAACCCGGGAACUGCGUCCGAGACUGAAAGGCUUGAAUCCGGGAGAGGGAUGUGGAAUUCCAGGUGUAGCGGUGAAAUGCGUAGAUAUCUGGAGGAACAUCGGUGGCGAAGGCGGCAUCCUGGACCGGUAUUGACGCUGAGGCGCGAAAGCCAGGGGAGCAAACGGG
rnacentral:rRNA from 1 species